rnacentral:rRNA from 1 species
UGAGUAACACGUAUCCAACCUGCCGUCUACUCUUGGACAGCCUUCUGAAAGGAAGAUUAAUACAAGAUGGCAUCAUGAGUUCACAUGUUCACAUGAUUAAAGGUAUUCCGGUAGACGAUGGGGAUGCGUUCCAUUAGAUAGUAGGCGGGGUAACGGCCCACCUAGUCUUCGAUGGAUAGGGGUUCUGAGAGGAAGGUCCCCCACAUUGGAACUGAGACACGGUCUAA